GGGCAUGUAGCUCAGUUGGUAGAGCGCGUCAUUAGCAUCGGGCUAGCAUUGACGAGGUCUUUGGUUCGAUUCCUAACCUGUCCA